GAUGAAGAACGUAGCGAAAAGCGAUAAGUAAUGUGAAUUGCAGAAUUCAGUGAAUCAUCGAAUCUUUGAACGCACAUUGCGCCCGCCAGUAUUCUGGCGGGCAUGCCUGUUCGAGCGUCAUUUCAACCAUCAAGCCCCAGGCUUGUGUUGGGGACCUGCGGCUGCCGCAGGCCCUGAAAACCAGUGGCGGGCUCGCUGUCACACCGGGCGUAGUAGAUUUUAUCUCGCUCAGGGCGUGCUGCGGGUUCCGGCCGUUAAAAAGCCUUUUUUACCCAAGGUUGACCUCGGAUCAGGUAGGAAGACCCGCUGAACUUAAGCAUAUCAAUAAGCGGAGGA
rnacentral:misc_RNA from 1 species